rnacentral:lncRNA from 1 species
AUUCAUGCAGAUACAAAGCAGGAAAUUCUACAAAGGCUUAACUUGGAAAAUCCAAAUUACAGUGACAUGUUCAGCAGUCCCGAAGAUGAAGAUUCAUGAGUGUGCAAUUCAGAUCACAGCACCAUGCAGAGCACCCAGAGCAUUCAGCUGUAUCUGCAGGCUCCUUGCAGGGAGCAGACAGCAGGAAAUGAAAACCGUGACCAGAAGUGUAUUCCCCUUGUCUAAACACUGGCAUGCUGGUGUUUAGAAGAAAGGGCUCCACCAUGAUUCUUCCCAACUGCCUGCAGAGUGAAAUGAGAGCUUCAGCCAGGGAGAAAAAUGAGCUUGUUCCUGGGUGAAAAUGCAGCACAGAGUCAGGCAGAGCUUUUUUUUUUUUUUUUUAGGAUGAAGAGGAGGGGAGAUAUGGGGGACUGUUUGUUUUCCAGCUCUACCAGACACUAAACUUGGCAGAACCCCGACAAGGCGCUACAAAGUACCCUUCUGGCUGGUGCUGUAAGUUAACAAGAGAAACAUUUGAUAGAUGCCUACUGGCAAGCUAAUUAGAGGAGAAGUGAUUUGCUGGAUUGCAGGAAAAACAAAGGAAGGAGAGGAAAAUGUUCAGGCAGAUCAUUUAAGGUCCUCAUCCUGGGAGAGAGGGAGUAACUGGUUUCAUUUCCCAGAGGCUAAUCCUGCUCUAAUUGACUUAUUAUUAGACUCCAAAGGAAAACAAUCCUUGUGGCCAUGACAACAUACCCAGGGAAUGCGUGACUGGCUGCUCUGGGGAAGACACAUGGGGAGACAAUAGGUUGCAGUGUAUGAAGUGGCACAGGAUCACAUUUGUCAUGUGCAGAUCUAGGAGGCAUAUUAGCCCUAACUGGGCAUACUGGUUAGCGUUACACUGUGGAAGGGGAAUAUUAAAGACAACCGUGUGAUUCAUUUUGGCUCAUUUGUCUUCCAUGAGAAAAUGCACAACCUCUUUCUACACACAGACCAGACAACCAGGGAUCACACGUUACAAAACCAGACAAUGUGGUAGCUGUAAGUUACUUGUGAACUACAAAAAAUAAAUUACAUAUUUAUAAACCA